rnacentral:misc_RNA from 1 species
GCAAACUUGGUCAUUUAGAGGAAGUAAAAGUCGUAACAAGGUCUCCGUUGGUGAACCAGCGGAGGGAUCAUUACCGAGUUUACAACUCCCAAACCCAUGUGAACAUACCUAUUGUUGCUUCGGCGGGAUUGCCCCGGGCGCCUCGUGUGCCCCGGAUCAGGCACCCGCCUAGGAACUUUAACUCUUGUUUUAUUCUGAAUCUUCUGAGUAGUUUUUACAAAUAAAUAAAAACUUUCAACAACGGAUCUCUUGGUUCUGGCAUCGAUGAAGAACGCAGC